UGGUGGAGCGAUUUGUCUGGUCAAUUCCAUAACGAACGAGACUCUAGCCUACUAAAUAGUUCGGGGACCCCCACAAAGGGGCCCCGCUUCAACUUCUUAGAGGGACAGGUGGCGUUUAGCCACACGAGAUUGAGCAAUAACA
rnacentral:rRNA from 1 species